CCCCCCCCCCCCCCCCCGCCCCGUUAAAUUUCUUACGAAGGUUGUUAUGGCCGUUUCUUUCCAGUGGACAUAAAUUUCAGCUUCUGAAUUUCUGCCUGUUUUUUCUCUCUCUCCUUUUUUUCUUAGGAUGUUAGCAAAUAAACCAAUUUAGCAAGGCAGAACAUGUUUUUAUCUCCUCUUUCUUGGUGCUCCUUUAAAAUAAGAACACCUAAGUAUGGAGAAGUGGGUGACUUCGUUUAUGAGGACGUGGAGGUUCCCUUGCCUGCAUCGCUGGUUUGAAGUCUAACCAGUUGUGCAGUAUCCCCACGGCUGUUUGAUAGUUGCUGUAUUUGUCCUGGACGUACAGGGUUGGUGUUGCAGUCUGUGCUCUACUUAACAGCCCUGAUUUUCCCUUUGGCCCUUCAAUGAGAGAUCCCAUUGGAUCAAGUGAAAGCGAAGUCCCUUUGAGAUGAGUCCCAUAUCCCUGACCUCUUCUCUGAGCUCCAAUUCUAUCCAGUUUUCUUCUGGAAAUCUUAACGUUGAAGUCCUGUGAGUACUCUCAGAUCUGUGUGUCCAAAACAGAAGUCCUCAACUUCAUUCCAACCCUGUCUCAUCCUGGCUUCUACAUUUUUGUGAAACAAGUCACCGAUCUGUUGCGCCAACAGCAUCUAUCUGUCCUCUCCUCUCCCAUUGCCGCUGCUUAAGUUUAUGUCCUCAGUGACUCAUGUCUUGCUUGCUCCAAUAACCCUUCAGUUUCCCUGUUUCUCUAGGCAAAUAAACGGCUACUUUAUAAGUUUACAUCUUUGCUCAUUUAUUCUCCAUGCUCAGCUGAAGGAAUUUUGCACAAGACAAAUCUUAUUAUAGCAUUACCUCUAAAAUGCUUCAGCAGCUUCCUAUUGCUUUCAGAAUUUAAUUCUGUUUCCCUAAUUUGCUAAAUACAAGCUAUCCAUGGGCCGGAGCUCUACAGUGAAGUUUGAAUGCCUUUAUUUACGUCGCCUUUACUAAGCUAUAUUAAAAUUCCAAGGAUGCGAGGUCUGUGGCCACAGUGCCUUUGCCGACUUGGCACUCAAUCCCCUUCUUUGACUGGCUGAAUCCUAUAGACCUUUACAGACUUCACAUAGUUGCCGUCUUUUCCAGAAAGCCUUCCUUGAUUUCACCUCCAGGUUGGGUGCAAAUCCUCAGUCCUCCUGUUGAAAUUGUUUGCAAAUUUUAGCCACAGCAUGACUUUCCUGGGGAAGGGAAGAAUCUGGUGCAUAUUAGAAACUAAAUCAACAUCUCUUAAAUGGAUGAAUAACCAAAUGCCAUUAUUGCAAAGUCUGCAGACUGGGCAAAUUAGGAAAGCAAUCUGAUGAAUAAGCAGAAGAAGUGCCAUGUUUAAUAAAUUGAAGCCAUCUGCAGACUUAUUACAGAGGGAAAAAGUGUUCCAUGAUUAUUUACACUGGUCACUGAGAAGUAGCACGAUGAUCAAUUUGGAAAGAUGAUCAAUAAUUUGAAAACUCUAUAUUCGUUAUUUCUGGUAACAGAAAUUCUGAUAUUAUAAUUUAUUAGUAUACUUAGACCAGAGGAGACAUUUCUCUGAAUAUAGUUUAUCAUCUAGUCCUGGUGGGCACACUCUCUUAGUGUUUUUCUAUUUUAUGAGUUUGAUUUUAAUCAAGUGAUGCUUAUUUUUCUUACACUAUGAUAGAAUCCCAAAUCAGAGAAAUAUUUUGAUUUCAAACUUGCUGGAAAUUUAGAGGGAGAGAGCAUUUAUUUAAUCAGAUUAUUUUUAUUAAGUGGAACUCUUGGUAAUCUAAAAUGCUUUGUAUUUAUUUUAGCAUUGUAUUUUCCAAAUGACCUCUGAAUAUAUCAGUGCCAAAGAGAAAACAAGAGAGCUCUUAAUUAAUUGAAGGAAAAUAGUCUGCUGAAUAUUGUUUUUAAGAGAGUAUCUUUUGCAAUUCCGAAAUCAGGAGGGAGCAUUUUAUUCAUGUUGUUGGUUGAGUCUUACGAAAAUAUUGGCUUUGACGGUCUUAACCGUGCCCUUCUCCCUGAGCUUGGAGCGUCAGCAGUGUUUAAGAGGUUUCUUCUUCCUAACUGGCAUCUUUUUGAUUUAGCACCUUUCUUUUAGCUUUGUGUUGAAAACAUGUUGGCUAAGUAUGUUAAUUAUUAGAUAUAUCCUUAUUCAAAUUUGAAUGGAGACAACAUGAAGAAGGAUUAUAGUUUAGUUAUUGCAGCUUCUGAGAAAGUAUUUCACCAUAGCAGUUUAGAAAUACAGAUGGAGAAUGUUUCCUUUUAGUUAGAGCCUUUUUGGACCUGUGAGGCCCUCUGAGAAUCUAAAGUCUGGCCUCAUUCUGUCCAUUUUUCAUUCUCUUUGAAAGAAUUUCAAAGUAACUGGUUAAAGCUCCUCUCCCAUCUGUCAUGAGUAACACGUAGAAGUUUCUUGUGCAGCUAUCGGAGAGAAGGGAGGAAAUGUAAAAGCACAGAUCAUUUGGGUAUUAAUACUGAUCCUGAAAGUAACUCUGCCGGAACCAGGCUCUUUUGAAACGUUCUGUUACAUGUUACUUUUUAUUUUCUCAGCUUGAAUUUAUAAACAUGGCAGACCAACAGGUUUCAUAUCAAGAUUGAUAACCAGGAAGAAUCCACUCUUUGAUUGAGUGGCAAAUACCUUUUAAAAACCUUCUGGAGAUUUUCACUUUUUACCAGACCAAGGCUGGGUUUACCAAACCAAGCUUUGUUGGAGAGGUGAAGGCAUGCAUUACCUGCAGGGUAGACCCCACUUCUAAAUAGGGUUUCUGGUCUAGAAUAUCUCAAGAGAAAUUCGUGUCCUUUUCCUCCUACAGAUGAAAGUACCCUUUUUUUGGGCAGAAGACAUACGAUGCCAGGAACACAAGUGCUAGUGAAUCAGUGCUUCCUACCCCCACCUCAUGUAAGGUGUAAGACCAUCAGGAAGGAAGUGUCACACACACACAGACACACGCACGCACGAGAUAGAUGGAGACUGCAGGCUCUCGGGCCACGCUGUGGAAUGAACGGGAUUUGUGCAAAGUCACACUGUAAAGAAAUGGAGCCAGUUCUUUGAUAUUUUUGAGUCUUUACAGGUGGCUUUGUGGUAUUUUUAGAAAGUUGUGAUUUCCCAGGGUACUUUAAGACCAGGCCCCACCCCAGUGUCCUUUUGGCCUAGGCAGUGUGUCCUGGGCCUUACCAAUAAAUGCAGCUAGUUAAUUCUCUCAGCGAAUCAAAGGUGGUAUAAUUACCACUGUUUGAUACUCAGAAAACUGAGUGAUUGAAGCACUUCUUCAGGGUCACACAGUUGAUCAUUGGCACAGGCAGGCUUCAAACUGAGGUCUAUCUGAAUCUAUACGGCAACAUCUGUGGUCAGCGAGGUAUGUGGGACACACUUCUCCCUCCCUUCUAUCUGAUGGAGCUGUCCUUUUGGUUCAGGGUAGCAAUGUGUCCACUUAAAAAUCUCCCCUUCUUGGCCUACACUGUAGCCAGGAGUGCUCACCCAGUUCUGGCCAGGGAGAUAUAGAUAGACAUCAUUGUGUAGGCUUUUUCUCCCUCAUUUCUUCCUUUCCAUCCUGGAACUGGGACAUGAUGCUUAGACUUGCAGCUGCCAUCUUGUGGUUAUGACAAUGAGAGCCACACACUGAGGAUGGCAGUACCGGAAGUAGAGGGCGCCCAGUUUCUUGAUGACUUACUUGAGUGGCUUCACCAGCCUUGAUCAACUUACCUAUGAAUUUCUUGUUAACUGAGAAAAAUAAGUGACAAUUUGAUUAAGUCUCUUUGAUGGGUGUUAUGGACUGAAUUGUGUCACUCCAAAAUUCAUAUGUUGAAGCGGUAACCCACAGUACCUCAGAAUGUGACUGUAUUUGGGGAUAAGAGAUAAAUAAAUUAAAAAUGAAACUGUUAGGAUGGGACCUGUUCCACUGUGACCAGUGUCCUUUUAAGAAGAGGAUAUUAGGAUACAGGAAAGAAACCAAGGAUGUGUGUGCACAGAGGAAAGGCUGUGUGAGCACACAGUGAGAAUGUGGCUGUCUUUAUGCCAAGGAAAGUUCCCAGAAAACAAUCCUGUUGGCACCUUGAUCUUGAACUUGCAGCCUCCAGAACAGUGAGGAAAUAAUUUCUGUUGUAAACCACCCAGGUCUGGGGUAUUUGUUAUGGCAGCCCUAGCAAACUAAUACAGUGGGGUUUCUUUACAUGCAGCUCAAAGCAGUCCUAUUGAUAGCAAAACUGAAACAAAUGAAAGUAUUAUAGACCACAAUAGUAUAAAUGAUUUAUUUGUUCUGCUGUUUCUUUUCUUUUCUUUUCUCUUUUUGAGGAAGAUUAGCCCUGAGCUAACUGCUGCCAAUCCUUCUCUUUUUGCUGAGGAAGACUGGCCCUGAGCUAACAUCCGUGCCUGUUUUCCUCUACUUUCUAUGUGGGACACCUACUACAGCAUGGCUUGCCAAGCGGUGCCAUGUCCGCACCCGGGAUCCUAACUGGCGAACCCUGGGGCGCCGAAGCAGAACUUGCGCACUUAACUGCUGCGCCAUCAGGCCGGCUACUGUUUCUUUUUUUAUGAAUGCUGUCUCCAUAGCCCUUGUGAUACUAUGUUUGUUUACCUGUUUAACUUCCAGUGUCCUGCCUCUAGACACACGCAUACACACACCUGCAUACCCCAACACACACACUGCGCUUCUUAGGCUGAGGUUGUCUGUUUCGUCUUCGUUCGCCUCGCACAAUAGGUGGCACAUAGCAGGCACUUUAUCCUUGUUUGUUGAAUAAAUUUGUUUAAAAGAAUGUAGUUGGCAAUAUUUAGGAAAACAGAAUGGUCAAAAUUAGAAUAGUGAUUUAAAAAAACAUGUGUACUCUUUCAUGAUUUCAAAAUUAUAAUUUUGAUAUUUGAACAUGUAAUCCUAAUUUGAAAAGGGGAUUUUGUUCCUGAGUUGGCUUAGUUUUCAGGGGAUUUGCUUUCACUGAACUUUCGUAAGUUAGUUUGUUUAUGGGUAGGGGUUA
rnacentral:lncRNA from 1 species